UGCCUUUUCUAGUUCUAUCUAUCUAUCUAUCGCAAAGAAGGCUAUAAAAAAAUUAACACAAUUAAUAGCACAUUUAUAUAAUACUUUGUGCUACCUCUCUUUGCCAAGGUGACAGCUCUGAGUCUUCCCCUAUAACACAUGAUUAGGUUGGAGAAUACAUGGCAAGGCAUUCCUCCGUACAGAAUCUCUCCAGAUCCAACAAAUUUCAAGGUCAACACUAGUGGACUCUCCUCUUCAGUUCAACCCAAAGAUUUUCUAUGGGGUUCAUGUCAGAGGACUGGGAUGGCCAUGGCAGAACCUUGAUUAUUUGGUCGGUAAACAAUUUUUGUGUUGAUUCUGAUGUAUGUUUUGCUCACUUUUCCUACUGGAACAUCCAACCAGAGCCAAUUUUAAGCUUUCUGGCACAGGCAGUGAUAUUUUCAUUCAUUCCUAAAAAAAAAAAUGUCCAGGUCCUCUGGCAGAAAAACAGCCCCACAACAUUAAAGAACAGAGUAUUUUUAAUUUUUAAACAAAAGGUUAAACAAUAUAGACAAUUUUUCACAGCUUUAUUUGCUUAUAUUUACCAAAGGUGAUACUAUUAGUGGAGGGCACUGUGUAUUUUCUCAGUUACAGGAUUCCUGGUAGAAUAACUUCUACACUGUGCUGUAGUGGUUAUGGUGCUUAUAGUAUCCGUUUGAAAUCUAUCAUUUAGUCCAUAUUAACUUAGGACUUUGCUUUAUAGGAAUAUUUUUCCAUCCUGUCGUCACAUGAGACCCACCACCAGGCUAGGAUUUCAUCAGAACUUCACUGAUAUUCAGGUGUCUCAAUGAAAAUAUUUGAGCCACAGAUUAACACAAAUCAUGACAUUCCGGCUUGCACCUGAGCAAAACUUCACUGUAGUGACAGAGGACUUGGCAUAUGACACCUUUGAAUGACCGUGCAGCGUUACGUAUCAUACAGUCGUGGGCCUGUGAGGUUGAACUCUUGAUUGCUUGUGACUGUAGAACUUAGAUGAUCCACUUAGUGGUUUUAGUGACACAACCCAUAAUAUGGAUAGCCAGAGGCUACCGGGAAAAGGAAAUGAUAACACAUUUUUCACUUCUGGGCCUAAUAUCCUCUCCCGUCUAUCCUCUCACAUGUCUUCCCACAGUCAAUCAUUACAUUUGCUUCCAGUGCCCUAUAAGAGUCAAUUCAAAAUAUUAACUCUUGCCUACAAAGCUCUCAACAUCUCCCCCCCUCCCACCACCCGCUAUGUUUCUUCACUAAUUUAUAGAUACAUACCUUCUCGGCUGCUCCGCUGUUUUCUCUUGUCUGCUACCCGUACUGCCUUCUCCCAUCAGACUCUCCCCUAGUCUUUAAUCCUAAAAGAAGUCCCUUAAAACAUCUUCAGAAUAGCCUAUGGCCCACUGGGGUAACUGUCAAUUUUAAACUAUCCCUUACUCUCUCAUCUUAAUUUUGUGGGUCCACACUCCCCUUCACUUUUAACUUCCUAUUCUGUCACUUUUCCCACCCUGUCACCUGGUUGCUAUCCCCCAAGCUACCUUUCCUG